rnacentral:lncRNA from 1 species
GUAUGUUUAAGGUCUAUAUGCUGAAAUGAUUUGCUGACCAGUGAUGCAAGAAAAUUGUCUGAACUCUGGAAAGAUUGAAUAAUAGUGUUAGAUGAGUUACAGUUAACAGUGAAGGAGUUGUCACUUGCUUCUUGAAGAACUGAUCCAGAUAUUCUUGUUGAAUAGAUUAGUUGGGAUAAACAAGAACAUCCUUUUAGAAUGAUACCAGUAUUCCAGUGAAAGAGAAGGGACUGUGGAGAGUCAAGGAGGCUGGGGACUACAAAAUUGGCUGGAAAUAAUCACUGAAAUUUUAAUCACUUCACAUGUCCAGUGUUACUGAACAGCAAACAUAAGGCCUAUAAGGUUC